UCGCUCGGGCGUUUCUCGCGGCGCCAGCACUCGAUUUUGUAGCCGUCCAUUUCUGUGUUGACUUUUGUCCUGCGCGUUGGAUACAAUCUGGUGGGGUUUCUUUUUCUUUUGUUACUGUGCUGUGGGCCCCUUUUGUCAGCAUCUGGUUUUAUUUGUUGAUUUUCUGGAGACGCUCCAGUUUACUUUGGAGUGUAGUUGGUGAGCCCUGGUUUCCACUCUCUCGUCGCAGUCGCUGAGGUCUGCCCAUCUCCAAGGGCACCGGUGUUUCUGCAGUUUGGCCUGGUGAACAUCAACUUCAUCACUUGUGGCUCCGCUGCACAGGAGUUGCUCAAGGGUUUGCUGGGAGGCUUAGAUGCCAAUGCAAUUUUUGGUCAGCUCCCGAGGAUGUUGGCCUUCAGUAUAGGUUGAGGCCUGAUGUACCAGUGAGUUUCUUCAUAUUUUUUUAGGCAUGUGAGCUCUUUCAUCUCCUCUUAUAAAGUCUGAAUGAGUGUUAUUUCUAUAUUGGAAUGCAAAUGCAAUAGUGAAGUAAUUCUUGCUUUGAACUUCUAAUCACUUUAACUUGGUCUGCUAGUGGUUAAUUGCUACAACUACUUGCACACGAGCCUGAUCCAUUUUGUAGUCAAUCAUAACAUUGCUUAGUUAAAUCCUUUAGCUCUUAUUUCACUGGAUUGACACAACAAUAGCUACCGUGUUUGUCAGACCACAUCAUUUCACAAACCUUUAUUCAGUUUGGCUCAGCAAAUUAGCAGCUCAGCAUUUCAGCUUGAAUUGUCAUCCUGUUCUGUGCUUUUGUGCAUGUCGACAUAGGAGCAACAGCUCACUCUUUUUAGCGUCUCAUUUUUCCUUUUUGCCAUCUUGUGCAUUCAAGAUAGACUAUUCAAUAGCUAUUGGCUAAUCAUUGCAUUGGAUUUGUGCUAAUUCUUCUCAAAUUUGUGCUAUCUUUUUUAUAUAUGGAAAUAUAAGUAGUAUAAUCUUUAUGUAUAUUGGAAAAUUUUAAAUCUUAAACUAUGCAAUCAAGUUAGUUAUUAUAUAGAUGUUUAUAAUUGUAUUUUAGUACUUACAGUUCAAUCAUAUAAAAGUUACAGUGACUUCAAACUGUAAUUCAUAUGUAAUGGUGGUGUAACAUGUUCAUAUAUUUGUCCUUGGCCCAUGAUUAGUUGAAAUUUUCAUAUCUGUGUUGUUUCAUUCAGUCCAAACUAUUUUGGCAAUUGACUGAACAUAGAAACAAUGUUAUCAUU